CAGGCCCAGGCCCCCCCACCUCAGGGAGCACCUGCAGGACACCCCCAGGAAGAAGCACGGGACCCGGGGGCGGGCAGGGACAGUGACUUUAGAAGCUGGGAGAACAUGUGGAUGGACAAACAUUAACCGAGGAGAAGAGCUGCAGAUGCUGUGCGGGCGAGAAGGGACGUGACCAACGCCAGACCGCUGGAGUCCUCGGGACCACGGGGGAAAGACGAGACGGCGUGGGAACGUCACGACCAGGGAAGGGGGAAAACACAAGGAGACUCGUAAAACGUCAGUGCGAGCGCAGGUAGGAGAGGACUGCUCGGAGCGGCGUGGCAACAGUGGAGCAAAGAGAAUCACAAAAUAAGACGACAGAAAUAAAUUCCCAUGUAUUUGCGACCGUGAUAAACAGAGUGAGAUGAAAGUGUCCAGGUGAAAAGCAGGGAUUGAAUUUUUUUUUAAAUAAAAU